UUACAUCAACAAAGUUGAGAAAACAGAUCGGGACACUUUCUGAAGUUCUUAAUCUUAGCAACACAGAGUUAGAUCAGUUGGCAGACUUUCUAGGCCAUGACAUUCGAGUUCAUCGUCAAUUUUACAGGUUACCUGAAGGCACCCUCCAACUGGCCAAAAUUAGUAAAAUUCUUCUGGCCCUCGAAAAAGGACGCUUGGCAGACUUUAAAGGGCGAAAUCUUAAUGAAAUCAACAUAGAUCCAGAAGAGGAAGUUACAGUGGACAGUGAUUUGGAGGAGUCCACUUCUAGUCCAAAAGAGUGCACCACAGUAUCAUCAUCACAGCACACGGUUUGUGAGAACGGCACACUUCCAGCAGACCCAGUCUCCAAAAAAAAGAGAGGUAUGAUAAUACUUAGGUAUGAUGAUACUUCACUUAAUGCCGAUUGUCCUGAAAAAAAAGUGAAUUUUACCGUAGUACAGUGCUGACUUCGUAGCCUACUUUGACUGAAUUCUUUGCUUGCUUUAUUUAUUUCUUCUUAUAUAUGACUCUAUACUUUGUACCUAUACCUUUAUAGUGGCUAUUAUUGUUCAUUUAAAACUGACGUUAACAAAAGUUAGGUUUGUGCCUAUUUCAUGCUUUCCCACAUACACCACGCCUAACAAGUAAGGUCAGUGAAAACACAAGCCUGAUCAGGUUUACCUGUACCGAGCUGAACUGUACCAUACCACUCAGGUUGAUGCAAGUGUUUCUCAUGGGUAAAAUGCUAAUGUGUCUCUCCCCCCCCCCACAGGUUACAUUAAGAAGACGGCCUGGAACAAACUUGAGAUACAGGCUGUGGAGAAGCAUAUGAUGAGGUUUAUUAACAAUCACAAAAUUCCAGGAAAGGCAGACUGCAUGAGGUGUAAAGAGGCGGAACCACUUGCACUUAAAAAUAGAGAGUGGUCUACACUUAAAUUUUACAUCAAAAAUCGAAUCUCCGCUCUAAACAGAAAAUAUCUGCCAAAUUAAUUGACACACUGUCAGACUGAAUUGUUCAUUGGUAGAAACAAGCUUUUAUAGUUUUAAAACAAGCUUCCAUAGUCAAAUGGUUAGCGCAAUAGACCAUCAGUUCCAUAUUAUUGUUUGGAAAUGUAGAUUGUUCUUUCGAAAAUUAAGGCAUUUUAAAUAACUUUUAGACUGGAGUCUUUUUUUCAUCCUUGUCUGCUUCAAAUGUAGAAUUGUUUUUCUAUAAAUGCAGACAUGGUAGAUUUUCAUUCUAUUGUACUUGUUUUCAAAAACUUGAGAAUGCAGUGUUUGUCAUGAAGGGUUUUAUUAAUAUAUAUUUUUUAAUUCAACUAGUGUUUACUGUGAACAUCUUUAUGAAAUAUUUCUGCAAAUUUUUGUGGACGACUGAAACUUAUGCUAAUGUUUCUGACCCUGACUGUUGACGUACUAAUGUUAUGAGUUUUGAAAAUGUAUGUCAUAUACUGUAUAACACUUUUUUUUUUUACUAAACCUUUAAAAGUACUAAGUUAAUUUUGUUUCUACAUCUAAAACAAACAUCUCCAAAAUCAAUUAAAGCAUGGAGCAGAUUGUAGCUCCUUUUCUGUCUAAAGUA